GGAUUAGAUACCCUGGUAGUCCACCCCGUAAACGUUGGGAACUAGUUGUGGGGUCCAUUCCACGGAUUCCGUGACGCAGCUAACGCAUUAAGUUCCCCGCCUGGGGAGUACGGCCGCAAGGCUAAAACUCAAAGGAAUUGACGGGGACCCGCACAAGCGGCGGAGCAUGCGGAUUAAUUCGAUGCAACGCGAAGAACCUUACCAAGGCUUGACAUAUACGAGAACGGGCCAGAAAUGGUCAACUCUUUGGACACUCGUAAACAGGUGGUGCAUGGUUGUCGUCAGCUCGUGUCGUGAGAUGUUGGGUUAAGUCCCGCAACGAGCGCAACCCUCGUUCUAUGUUGCCAGCACGUAAUGGUGGGAACUCAUGGGAUACUGCCGGGGUCAACUCGGAGGAAGGUGGGGAUGACGUCAAAUCAUCAUGCCCCUUAUGUCUUGGGCUUCACGCAUGCUACAAUGGCCGGUACAAAGGGCUGCAAUACCGCGAGGUGGAGCGAAUCCCAAAAAGCCGGUCCCAGUUCGGAUUGAGGUCUGCAACUCGACCUCAUGAAGUCGGAGUCGCUAGUAAUCGCAGAUCAGCAACGCUGCGGUGAAUACGUUCCCGGGUCUUGUACACACCGCCCGUCAAGUCAUGAAAGUCGGUAACACCUGAAGCCGGUGGCCCAACCCUUGUGGAGGGAGCCGUCGAAGGUGGGAUUGGUAAUUAGGACUAAGUCGUAAC
rnacentral:rRNA from 1 species